rnacentral:rRNA from 1 species
UACGUAGGGUGCAAGCGUUAUCCGGAAUUAUUGGGCGUAAAGAGCUCGUAGGCGGUUUGUCGCGUCUGCUGUGAAAACUGGAGGCUCAACCUCCAGCCUGCAGUGGGUACGGGCAGACUAGAGUGCGGUAGGGGAGAUUGGAAUUCCUGGUGUAGCGGUGGAAUGCGCAGAUAUCAGGAGGAACACCGAUGGCGAAGGCAGAUCUCUGGGGCCGUAACUGACGCUGAGGAGCGAAAGCAUGGGGAGCGAACAGG